rnacentral:rRNA from 1 species
AUGGGCGAAAGCCUGAUCCAGCAAUGCCGCGUGAGUGAUGAAGGUCUUCGGAUUGUAAAGCUCUUUCGACGGGGAAGAUAAUGACGGUACCCGUAGAAGAAGCCCCGGCUAACUUCGUGCCAGCAGCCGCGGUAAUACGAAGGGGGCUAGCGUUGUUCGGAUUUACUGGGCGUAAAGCGUGCGUAGGCGGCUUAUCAAGUCAGAAGUGAAAGCCCGGGGCUCAACUCCGGAACUGCUUUUGAGACUGGUAGGCUGGAGUUCGGGAGAGGGUAGUGGAAUUCCCAGUGUAGAGGUGAAAUUCGUAGAUAUUGGGAAGAACACCGGUGGCGAAGGCGGCUGCCUGGCCCGAAACUGACGCUGAGGCACGAAAGCGUGGGGAGCAAACAGGAUUAGAUACCCUGGUAGUCCACGCCGUAAACGAUGAGUGCUGGACGUUGGGAUACUUAGUAUCGCAGUGUCGUAGCUAACGCGUUAAGCACUCCGCCUGGGGAGUACGGCCGCAAGGUUAAAACUCAAAGGAAUUGACGGGG